AAACCCAGGCUGGCUCCACUUAAAAAAAACACCACCACUAAAAAAACAACAACAACCCAACACAACUCUGAUGCCUUGACUGAAUUUUCUGUGCUUUGGGCCAUUUCUUUAUAUUUCCUUUCCUCCACAGGUUCCCAUGUUCAGUCACAUCCACCACCAAGCUCCAGACCUGGUUCAGUCAGGAACUUCUUACAGAAUAUUAAAAGUUUGCGUGGUACAAGUUACUCAGUCCACAAAAAAACAUCUGGAAAGUCCAAAAUGAAGUGUCAUUUCUCUACACAGAUACCUUUACAAAGGAUUUUCUACUAUUUCAAGACAGGCUGAAGUGUGGAAAAUACGCUGAAUGGAGAGGUAAAUUAAAAUAUCCUGAUCUUUGGAAUACACUGAAUGUGAGAGGGAUAAAGGGCAGUUACAAUUUUGUAGGUCCACAUCCUCUAUUCUGAAAGAUACAUGGGGUUUCAUAUUGGAUAUGGUAAAUAAUUAGAAUCAGGGUGUACAGCAGGUAGAAAGAUGGCAGAAGAAGGAAAAAUUUCCACUGAAGAGAAAAAUUUUCAAUGACAAAAUUUGAAUUUGUAAUUUUUAGACCACAAAGAAAAAAAUGGGCAAUAUUUCUUUCCUAUGUCUGGAGGGGCAUCUGAGCAUUUCUAGCUUCCAACAAAUGCAUGUGAAAUUACAAUGUGGCCUACAGAAAUGCUGCACUUGAUUUUGACAUUUGCUUUCAAGAAAUAUUUGUACUCAGUAAGUCUGAAAUACUGAAUAUUUGGAGACUACAUGAAAGAGAAGCAGUCAUGACAAAAAGGCAUUAAUGUAGAAAUCCCAAUGUAAUACUGAUGCUUGGGCAUAACUUGCCUGCCUAGAGAGUACCAGGUUUCUAUCUAGGAUGAAUCAUCAUCAUCCUAUCAGUUAUGUGAGAAGGCACAUGAUAGCACCUCCGCUUCUUCUCUAUCCAUCUCUACCUAUUUCGUACUUUUUGAUUUUGAAAAAAAAUAUAUCUCUAUAAACUUUUGCUUGAGAGAGGAAAGCCAACAGCAGCAACUAAGGCUUACCCAGACCCCACAGACAAACUUUCACGCAUUUUGCACAUUUCUUUUUCAGUGCAAUUCACUGAAGACUUUUUGCAAUAUUCAUCCCAUUUUACAACCCAAACUCAAUGACCUUUGAUCUUAGCAGUCAUUUUUAAUAAUCCAUUUAAUUCUAUGACCAACUAAAUCAAAGUCUGACAUAUUUUGCUCUCUUCCUUACCAAUGUCACUCUGCCUUAGCUUAGUUCAGAAAGCAAUUAAGUUUCCAAUGGCAGCCAGUCAGCUCAAUUCAGCAAUAGAAUUGGUUCAAUUUCAGCAGUAUGUAAAAUGAAUGAGAACAGUAGAGCAGAGUAAAUUCUUUAGUAUAUCAAAUCCUGUCUAUUACUAAAAAUGUUUCACAAGUACUCCCAAACAGCUUCAGCAUCGCUGCAGGGUAUAAAUUCUGAUCAGUUCCAAAAUGAUAUGGUAACUGUCAUAUUUUUCCAGCUACAUAUUUACCAACAGAAAUAACACAAUGGAAAGAAAUAAACCUUGCAAGCCACUUGAAAAAACA
rnacentral:lncRNA from 1 species